UGGGGAAUUUUGGACAAUGGGCGAAAGCCUGAUCCAGCAAUGCCGCGUGUGUGAAGAAGGCCUUCGGGUUGUAAAGCACUUUUGUCCGGAAAGAAAUCCUUGGCUCUAAUACAGUCGGGGGGUGACGGUACCGGAAGAAUAAGCACCGGCUAACUACGUGCCAGCAGCCGCGGUAAUACGUAGGGUGCAAGCGUUAAUCGGAAUUACUGGGCGUAAAGCGUGCGCAGGCGGUUUUGUAAGACGGAUGUGAAAUCCCCGGGCUUAACCUGGGAACUGCAUUCGUGACUGCAAGGCUAGAGUAUGGCAGAGGGGGGUAGAAUUCCACGUGUAGCAGUGAAAUGCGUAGAGAUGUGGAGGAAUACCGAUGGCGAAGGCAGCCCCCUGGGCCAAUACUGACGCUCAUGCACGAAAGCGUGGGGAGCAAACAGGAUUAGAUACCCUGGUAGUCCACGCCCUAAAACGAUGUCAACUAGUUGUUGGGGAUUCAUUUCCUUAGUAACGUAGCUAACGCGUGAAGUUGACCGCCUGGGGGAGUACGGUCGCAAAGAUUAAAAACUUAAAUGAAUUGACGGGGUCAUAGCUGUUUCCU
rnacentral:rRNA from 1 species